GAGAGCGAGCUCGGGAGGCAGAAGGAACAACGGCAGCGCCACACGCACACACAGGAAAAGGCUCGCUGCGCACCUCCAGCCUUCGAGCCCCGCAGACGUGAAAGCUCCUGAACCUUGAAGAAAACACAAGAAACACAGCAGGCAUUUUAUUCCUUGGUAACAGCAAGCGGCAGACAGACUAUUGCUUGUUCUCAUCAACAGAUCAGCACUGGUUCUAUCCUGGAGGCACUGGAAUGAUCUCCUCUUCCAGGCUUGGGAUCUUCUAAACACUCCCUCCAGCUUUCUUCUCAAGCAGAGACCAAGAGGAAGAUUAGGCUUGCAGUCAUCCAUUCGUUUUAUCACCAGAGGCCCAGGGCAGGUAGAUCUUGUGACUGGGAGGAAAGUGUGACAGUUGUCAUUGUGCUCAAGCUGGAGGGAUUUAGGCAGAGCCAUGGGGUUAAAGGCUAGAGGAGUGGAGGUCUUAGGAUGGGAAGGCAAUGAACUAAAUGAGUGGCCAUGUAAGUACUAUUUGGGUAGAAGAAAGACUGAAGGUGGGAAGGAUGGGAAAUAGGGGAAGAUGAGGUAAUGGAUUUUGGGAGCUCAUUAUAUAGAAGAAUGGGGAGAAACAAAUGAUUUGGAAGUAGGCUUUGAAAAUUAUAUUGGAUUAUUUGGACAAGCACUGAAACAUGAAGGGUCGUAUUCCACUAAGAUUUCCUGAAGGAGCGUCUCCACCCCCAUCGUCCAGCCCAGACACUGAGGUCCAGC